GUAGUCCACGCCGUAAACGAUGUCGACUAGCCGUUGGAGACCUUAGAGUCUUUAGUGGCGCAGCUAACGCACUAAGUCGACCGCCUGGGGAGUACGGCCGCAAGGUUAAAACUCAAAUGAAUUGACGGGGGCCCGCACAGGCAGCGGAGCGUGUGGUUUAAUUCGACGCAACGCGCAGAACCUUACCCAGGUUUGACAUGCCACUGCAAGCCGGUGAAAGCCGGUCGCCUUCGAGGGUGUGGCACAGAUGCUGCAUGGCUGUCGUCAGCUCGUGUCGUGAGAUAUUGGGUUAAG
rnacentral:rRNA from 1 species